UACUUAUAAUAAAAAGAUUUUGGAAUAGUAUUAUUAAUGAAAUUUAACGGAUUUGGCGGCAAGAUAGCCACUUAGAGGAACCUGCCCUAUAAACGAUGAACCACGAAUAGUCCUACUUUUUCUAGUAUUCAGUUUGUAUACCGCUGUUGUCAGUUAGUUUCCUUAGAAAACUUUCAUGCAUGAAAAAUUCAACGACUUCAAGUAAAGGUGCAGCUUAUGAAAAAGAUAGAGGUGGGUUACAUUUAAUUGAAUAAAACGAAUAAAGUAACUUAAAAAACUUUUGAAGGUGGAUUUAAUAGUAAAGUCAAAUAAGACUUGAUGAGAGCUCUAUCUUGUGUACACACCGCCCGUCGCUCGCGNAAAAAA
rnacentral:rRNA from 1 species